rnacentral:rRNA from 1 species
GAUGAACGCUGGCGGCGUGCCUAAUACAUGCAAGUCGAGCGAACAGAUAAGGAGCUUGCUCCUUUGACGUUAGCGGCGGACGGGUGAGUAACACGUGGGUAACCUACCUAUAAGGCUGGGAUAACUUCGGGAAACCGGAGCUAAUACCGGAUAACAUUUGGAACCGCAUGGUUCUAAAGUGAAAGAUGGUUUUGCUAUCACUUAUAGAUGGACCCGCGCCGUAUUAGCUAGUUGGUAAGGUAACGGCUUACCAAGGCGACGAUACGUAGCCGACCUGAGAGGGUGAUCGGCCACACUGGAACUGAGACACGGUCCAGACUCCUACGGGAGGCAGCAGUAGGGAAUCUUCCGCAAUGGGCGAAAGCCUGACGGAGCAACGCCGCGUGAGUGAUGAAGGGUUUCGGCUCGUAAAACUCUGUUAUUAGGGAAGAACAAAUGUGUAAGUAACUGUGCACGUCUUGACGGUACCUAAUCAGAAAGCCACGGCUAACUACGUG